AACGAACGCUGGCGGCAGGCUUAACACAUGCAAGUCGAGCGCCCCGCAAGGGGAGCGGCAGACGGGUGAGUAACGCGUGGGAACGUACCCUUUGCUACGGAACAGCUCCGGGAAACUGGAAUUAAUACCGUAUGUGCCCUACGGGGGAAAGAUUUAUCGGGGUUUGAUGAGCCCGCGUUGGAUUAGCUAGUUGGUGGGGUAAUGGCCUACCAAGGCGACGAUCCAUAGCUGGUCUGAGAGGAUGAUCAGCCACAUUGGGACUGAGACACGGCCCAAACUCCUACGGGAGGCAGCAGUGGGGAAUAUUGGACAAUGGGCGCAAGCCUGAUCCAGCCAUGCCGCGUGAGUGAUGAAGGCCUUAGGGUUGUAAAGCUCUUUCACCGAUGAAGAUAAUGACGGUAGUCGGAGAAGAAGCCCCGGCUAACUUCGUGCCAGCCGCCGCAGUAAAAC
rnacentral:rRNA from 1 species